GAAAUGCGAUACGUAAUGUGAAUUGCAGAACCGUGACUCAUCGAAAUUUUGAACGCACAUUGCACCUAGUGGCAUUCCACUAGGUAUGCUUGUUUGAGGGUCUGUUUAUUUUCUCUUGACCUUGGUUUAAAAUCGCAAGAUUUUUUAACUUGGCUCAAGGACUUGGUCUUGUAAAGUUAUACUUUACUUGGCUUUAAUUCAGACCGUGGUCUAUUAAAACCUAUCGCUUUAACGGCGAAGGGUGCUAGACAUAUCCAUAUCAGCCAACUUGUUGGUUUACCUUGGGUAAGUUCUACACUCGGGACGUUAAUAUGUGGGAUUUAUUACAUGACCCCAUCGGGAAAAAACUAGUUUUUUAACCACUUGGACCUCAAAUCAAGCAAGGCUACCCGCUGAACUU
rnacentral:misc_RNA from 1 species